rnacentral:rRNA from 1 species
UGAGGAAUAUUGGUCAAUGGACGAGAGUCUGAACCAGCCAAGUAGCGUGAAGGAUGACUGCCCUAUGGGUUGUAAACUUCUUUUAUAAAGGAAUAAAGUGAGGCACGUGUGCCUUUUUGCAUGUACCGUAUGAAUAAGGAUCGGCUAACUCCGUGCCAGCAGCCGCGGUAAUACGGAGGAUCCGAGCGUUAUCCGGAUUUAUUGGGUUUAAAGGGAGCGUAGGCGGACGCUUAAGUCAGUUGUGAAAGUUUGCGGCUCAACCGUAAAAUUGCAGUUGAUACUGGAUAUCUUGAGUGCAGUUGAGGCAGGCGGAAUUCGUGGUGUAGCGGUGAAAUGCUUAGAUAUCACGAAGAACUCCGAUUGCGAAGGCAGCCUGCUAAGCUGCAACUGACAUUGAGGCUCGAAAGUGUGGGUAUCAAACAGGAUUAGAUACCCUGGUAGUCCACACGGUAAACGAUGAAUACUCGCUGUUUGCGAUAUACUGCAAGCGGCCAAGCGAAAGCGUUAAGUAUUCCACCUGGGGAGUACGCCGGCAACGGUGAAACUCAAAGGAAUUGACGGGGGCCCGCACAAGCGGAGGAACAUGUGGUUUAAUUCGAUGAUACGCGAGGAACCUUACCCGGGCUUAAAUUGCAGAUGAAUUACGGUGAAAGCCGUAAGCCGCAAGGCAUCUGUGAAGGUGCUGCAUGGUUGUCGUCAGCUCGUGCCGUGAGGUGUCGGCUUAAGUGCCAUAACGAGCGCAACCCUUGUUGUCAGUUACUAACAGGUUCCGCUGAGGACUCUGACAAGACUGCCAUCGUAAGAUGUGAGGAAGGUGGGGAUGACGUCAAAUCAGCACGGCCCUUACGUCCGGGGCUACACACGUGUUACAAUGGGGGGUACAGAGGGCCGCUACCACGCGAGUGGAUGCCAAUCCCCAAAACCUCUCUCAGUUCGGACUGGAGUCUGCAACCCGACUCCACGAAGCUGGAUUCGCUAGUAAUCGCGAAUCAGAAUGUCGCGGUGAAUACGUUCCC